ACGAACGCUGGCGGCGUGCUUAACACAUGCCAGUCGAACGGUGAAGCGCCUUCCUUUUUGGUGGGUGUGGAUGAGUGGCGAACGGGUGAGUAACACGUGAGUAACCUGCCCCCUUCUUCUGGAUAACCGCAUGAAAGUGUGGCUAAUACGGGAUAUUCUGGGUCUGUCGCAUGAUGGGUCUGGGAAAGAUAUUGUUUCGGUGGGGGAUGGGCUCGCGGCCUAUCAGCUUGUUGGUGGGGUGAUGGCCUACCAAGGCGGUGACGGGUAGCCGGCCUGAGAGGGUGGACGGUCACACUGGGACUGAGACACGGCCCAGACUCCUACGGGAGGCAGCAGUGGGGAAUAUUGCACAAUGGGCGCAAGCCUGAUGCAGCGACGCCGCGUGAGGGAUGGAGGCCUUCGGGUUGUGAACCUCUUUCGCCAGUGAAGCAGGCCUGCCUCGUUUGUGGGUGGGUUGACGGUAGCUGGAGAAGAAGCGCCGGCUAACUACGUG
rnacentral:rRNA from 1 species